rnacentral:rRNA from 1 species
UACGUAGGGUCCGAGCGUUGUCCGGAAUUACUGGGCGUAAAGAGCUCGUAGGUGGUUUGUCGCGUUGUUCGUGAAAACUCACAGCUCAACUGUGGGCGUGCGGGCGAUACGGGCAGACUUGAGUACUGCAGGGGAGACUGGAAUUCCUGGUGUAGCGGUGGAAUGCGCAGGUAUCAGGAGGAACACCGGUGGCGAAGGCGGGUCUCUGGGCAGUAACUGACGCUGAGGAGCGAAAGCGUGGGGAGCGAACAGG